UACGUAGGGGGCAAGCGUUGUCCGGAAUCAUUGGGCGUAAAGCGGGUGUAGGCGGUCCGGUAAGUCCGCUGUGAAAGUCGGGGGCUCAACCCUCGGAUGCCGGUGGAUACUGUCGGGCUUGAGUACGGAAGAGGCGAGUGGAAUUCCUGGUGUAGCGGUGAAAUGCGCAGAUAUCAGGAGGAACACCAAUUGCGAAGGCAGCUCGCUGGGACGUUACUGACGCUGAGACGCGAAAGCGUGGGGAGCAAACAGG
rnacentral:rRNA from 1 species